UACGUAGGGGGCUAGCGUUGUCCGGAAUCAUUGGGCGUAAAGCGCGCGUAGGCGGCCCGGUAAGUCCGCUGUAAAAGUCAAAGGCUCAACCUUUGAAUGUCAGUGGAUACUGCCGGGCUAGAGUCCGGAAGAGGCGAGUGGAACUCCUGGUGUAGCGGUGGAAUGCGCAGAUAUCAGGAAGAACACCCGUGGCGAAGGCGGCUCUCUGGGACGGUACUGACGCUGAGACGCGAAAGCGUGGGGAGCAAACAGG
rnacentral:rRNA from 1 species